CCGGCGUUCCGCGGCCCCNCCNGANGGGGUGCAGCAGGCGCGAAACCUUACACUGCACGACAGUGCGAUAGGGGGAUNCCAAGUGCACAGGCAUAGCGCCUGUGCUUUUCGGCACCCUAAGGCGGUGCCAGAAUAAGGGCUGGGCAAGACCGGUGCCAGCCGCCGCGGUAAUACCGGCAGCCCAAGUGAUGGCCGAUCUUAUUGGGCCUAAAGCGUCCGUAGCUGGCCGCGCAAGUCCAUCGGGAAAUCCACCUGCUCAACAGGUGGGCGCCCGGUAGAAACUGCGUGGCUUGGGACCGGAAGGCGCGACGGGUACGUCCGGGGUAGGAGUGAAAUCCCGUAAUCCUGGACGGACCGCCGAUGGCGAAAGCACGUCGCGAGAACGGAUCCGACAGUGAGGGACGAAAGCCAGGGUCUCGAACCGGAUUAGAUACCCGGGUAGUCCUGGCCGUAAACAAUGUCUGCUAGGUGUGGCUCCCACUACGAGUGGGUGCUGUGCCGUAGGGAAGCCGCUAAGCAGACCGCCUGGGAANACUUCCGCAAGGUNAAUA
rnacentral:rRNA from 1 species